rnacentral:rRNA from 1 species
UGGGGAAUUUUGGACAAUGGGGGAAACCCUGAUCCAGCCAUCCCGCGUGUGCGAUGAAGGCCUUCGGGUUGUAAAGCACUUUUGGCAGGAAAGAAACGUCAUGGGUUAAUACCCCGUGAAACUGACGGUACCUGCAGAAUAAGCACCGGCUAACUACGUGCCAGCAGCCGCGGUAAUACGUAGGGUGCAAGCGUUAAUCGGAAUUACUGGGCGUAAAGCGUGCGCAGGCGGUUCGGAAAGAAAGAUGUGAAAUCCCAGAGCUCAACUUUGGAACUGCAUUUUUAACUACCGGGCUAGAAUGUGUCAGAGGGAGGUGAAAUUCCGCGUGUAGCAGUGAAAUGCGUAGAUAUGCGGAGGAACACCGAUGGCGAAGGCAGCCUCCUGGGAUAACACUGACGCUCAUGCACGAAAGCGUGGGGAGCAAACAGG